ACAGAAAAUGCUAAGCAGAAGUAUGACAAAAAUUUCCCGCCAAAGGAAGAAUUUUUUUCAUGCCUAUCCUUGAAUUUUGAUUCAAAUACCAAGAGAAAAGCCUACUAUAAUUCUCUAAAGAAGAAACCCUUUGGCGGGGGAGGGGGGCAGAAUUACAGACUAUUAAAAAUACUUAACUGAAGUAUGCCUAAACUUUUGCCUUCUCUACAAUCUAACAAAAUGGAACGACAAUGAAAACAAACACUACGGUCUACCCUCUGAGAGGCAAAGAAAGCUCCCAUUCAACGCUAAGCCUUAUUCCGCUGGAAAACACACUCCUCAAAAGUAAGUCCAACACCACGAGCUCAAACUACUUCACGCAGAAUUUCUGAAAGGCGGCCAAACGUUGUACACGCUGUCCUGCGCCACACUGAAGGCUGUCUAGAGUUCUGCAUUCUCCAUUUACAACUUGCUUACUGUGCUUUCGCCACCACUGCAGAACUGAUUUUUUUAAAUGAGACUAAAAUGUUCCUCCUGCCUCGUCGAGCAAAAAGAAAACAAUCUACCCGCUGAGCCCACCACCACCACCCCAUCCAUGGCUUUUCUUCAAUACUGACUGGGUUUGAGUCCUAUGUUUCGCCAGCACACCUUUUUAGACAUCAGUAAGGGGGAAGGCAUUGUGCCGUCCAGGAGGGUACUGAGUAAAGAAGGGGCCCUAAAGCAAGUUUUCACUGGCGUUUACCUGGCACCUGUCAGAACUGCGCUGCGCUGACACCCUCCCAGAGCGCCUGAGAGCGAGGAUGUCGUUCCCAGUCACUUGUCCCAUGGCGACAGGUGAAGGUGGUGAACGCGCACCUACACCCACCGCCCCGGGAGUGCAAACCGAAAGCGAGGAGCGCAGUGGCGAGGCCCUCCGCUAUCCUCACCCUCCACAGGCCCACCAGGGCUGCAGUAAGUCUUGCCAACUAUGCCAAUUGCCAAUUGUCUUGCCUGAGGGGGAUUGCCCUGGGCAAGUUCACUCUGGAUUCAAUGAGACUGAAUAACAACAAAGGAACUGGGAGUAAAAGGAACAGAACACGGCCUGAGACCCCUGAAGCUAUGGGAAGAGUGGAUGGAACGGAGUGAAAAGUGUGAAAAUGAAGGCAAAGGGAAGAUCAGCCUCAGGUCUAUUGAUCCCCCAAAAUGACAGCUCCUGAGAGACAUUGUUCACAGAAGUAAUGGAAUCCCUACCACCACUACCCACCCCAACCCCCAUUUCUGUCACCACCCAAGCAAGGUGCUGCCUAGGAGUGAACACACAGGGCUUUUUCUGUUUCCCACAGGGCCAUCAGUAAGGAAAAUUAAAACCAAAGUCCCCAGGUUGGUGUAAAUGCAGACGCAACUGGAAGCCAACAGUGGAGCACUCUCCUCAUCAUUCCACACUGGCAAGCACCUCAGCUCGCCUGUCAAGCAGCUGGGCUCACCUGAGAGCUGAGGAUGGAGAGGAGCCCCCCAUCAUGGGAGAGUGAGUGUGGACAUAUGUGCACCCAUGUGUGCAUGCAUGUGCGAGUGUGUGCACCCUAGGUGCACGGAGCACAACUAUAUGCCUGUGCAUGCACUCCUGUGGCCCAUCUGUGCACCCAUGUCUAUACAUGAGUGUCCAUGUAUAUGUUGCCCAUGUGUAUCUGUGUGUGCCCAUGCAUAUGUGCAAUGAAUGUGCAUGUGUGGGCAAUGCCUGCCAGGGACAGGGGAGCAGAGGGAGGGGUGGGAUACAUUUUUGCAAAGUUUCUAGUUUGUGAGCUGGUAGGAGUGGGUUUGGGUGUGGCUGUGGGAGCAGAAAUUGUAUUUGUUGUGAGGGAGGAUUUCUGCCCAGGUGUGUGUGAGUGAGGGUGGGACACAUUGGGCAGGGCAACCGUCCUUCUGGCAGGGGCCCACCCUGUCCUUGUCAUCCUUCCUGGGGGCAAGUCCCAGGGCAGUCACCUUUGCCAAAAGUGCCCUAGUUUGAUCCCCCAGGUUGGACUGGCAUGCCCAGCAGGCACAGUCUCUUGGAGACCCAGAGGAAGGUUGAGCUCAGUUUCUGAAAGUUGAAAAGGACAUUUGGAAGGCUGGGGGCAGAGGCAAGAAUCCACUUCAACUCCUCCAGCAGUGGCUGAUGACACAGCACCUUCCCCACGGGAGGCCCUGCCCUCAGAUGCAAGGCUCACAAAAUGAGGGAGGCUCUGUCAGUUCUGGUAAUGGAGAUGUGACACCACUCAACAGAUCCUCUAACAAUGGGGCCUCAGGGGAGCAUAUGAAUUAGGGCAUGAAUGACUGGAAGGAUCUCAGAGGAAGGGAGGGGGAUGAAGGGGGCAUUCCAGGUGGCAGAAACAACCUGAGCAUUGGCACGAGGUGAGAAAAUGCAGGGUAUACCCGAGACAGUCAGACCUAAAGGGGCCUUAACGCUCCUCUGGAGGCUGCCAUCCUCAUGAACAAGUGAGAAAACCAAGGCCUAGAGAGAGGAAGUGCUUCUAAGACCUAGAAGCAGAAAUGAGGUCUCCUGACUUUCAGGUCAGUGUUUCUGCUACCCCAGAAAGCCUUCGAGGGAGAAGCAAGGGCUUUGUGCUGCUGAUUCUGCUUCCUUUGUUUUCUCAUCCCCAGCAGGGAGGGCUGAGUCAAGGGUCCCUGUUCUUUGCCUCCCUCUGCCAGCAGCUUGCUGUGUGAUACUGAACAAGUCACUUUACCUCUCUGAGCCCCUCAUCUCCGAUUUGAAGGGAGCAUAAGGUCUUACCUUACUUGGGAAUGCUACCUUUGACUCUCUAGCAAGCUAAAAUUUUUCUCAGUCAUCCCACUGUUAUCCCCAGCUCCUAGCAGAAGGACAGCACAAGGCAGGUGCUCAAGUAUGUGUUGCCAAGGAAGUGAAGCAAAGGAUAGAAGAAAUGAGGAGCUCCGUGGCUCUUCUUUUACUGCUCUACUUUGAGAGCUUCAGCCUUUCCUCUCCCCAGGCAGGACAUAGGAUGAAGGAGGCCCAGAAUCAUAAAGACCUUGAAAGGGGCAGCAGGAAAGACAAAUACCCAGCUGUGCAGAGGCCCUGACUUCUCCCUGUCCCCGGGUGGGCGGAUGCCCUGGAAAGCGCCCUUUCUGGAAGCCAUGGCCUUGUUGGAAACUGCUACGGUGAGGGGUCAGGGGAGGCAGGACCUCUAGCAGAACCUGGGGCGGCUGGGCCCGGGGGGGCUGCAUCUCUCCUGCUCUCCCCCUCUCUGCCGCUCUGCUCCAGCAAGGGUCCCCAGCCCUCAUGUCCCCAGGCCUUCUGUCCCAAUCCUGGGAGGUUGGGCUGGCUUUGGAGCCUUCUGUUUCCCAUGGACAGAUUCCUUAGCUUUUUUCAAAUUCGAAUAACCCUCCGUUUCUGAGGCCCCCUUUUCACAUUAAAAAUUUUAUUGCCCA